rnacentral:rRNA from 2 species
GUGGCGCACGGGUGCGUAACGCGUGGGAAUCUGCCCCUUGGUUCGGAAUAACAGUUAGAAAUGACUGCUAAUACCGGAUGAUGACUUCGGUCCAAAGAUUUAUCGCCAAGGGAUGAGCCCGCGUAGGAUUAGGUAGUUGGUGGGGUAAAGGCCUACCAAGCCGACGAUCCUUAGCUGGUCUGAGAGGAUGAUCAGCCACACUGGGACUGAGACACGGCCCAGACUCCUACGGGAGGCAGCAGUGGGGAAUAUUGGACAAUGGGCGCAAGCCUGAUCCAGCAAUGCCGCGUGAGUGAUGAAGGCCUUCGGGUCGUAAAGCUCUUUUACCAGGGAUGAUAAUGACAGUACCUGGAGAAUAAGCUCCGGCUAACUCCGUGCCAGCAGCCGCGGUAAUACGGAGGGAGCUAGCGUUGUUCGGAAUUACUGGGCGUAAAGCGCACGUAGGCGGUUACUCAAGUCAGAGGUGAAAGCCCGGGGCUCAACCCCGGAACAGCCUUUGAAACUAGGUGACUGGAAUCUUGGAGAGGCGAGUGGAAUUCCGAGUGUAGAGGUGAAAUUCGUAGAUAUUCGGAAGAACACCAGUGGCGAAGGCGACUCGCUGGACAAGUAUUGACGCUGAGGUGCGAAAGCGUGGGGAGCAAACAG